rnacentral:tRNA from 1 species
AAGAUGUUAGUAAAAUAUUACAAGGCCUUGUCAAGACCUAAUUACUAGUUAAAACCUUGUACAUCUUA